GGAGGUGGUUGCGGCCAUUGCGGUGGCUGACGGUGGAAGAGGAUGGUUAUGGUUUCCUUCGUACGUAGUGGUCAAGAUGGUCGUAUCCUCGGCGCAUCUUUGGACCUAUAGAUGUGAAUUCAAGUAAGCAUUGUAUGUACUCAUUUUUAUUACAUGGUACUUUCGUUUGAAAAUAACGCAUCAUCAAAAUUAUCAUUAUUUAUGUACAGUUCAAACUUAUUUUUGUUAAUAAAUCAAAACUUUUGUUAGAUUAAACAUUAUUUUAUAUGGAAUAUACAUUAUUUUAUAUGGUAUAACUAUAUAGUUAUGAUGUAUUACUAACCUGUUUACGGACAGGACAUCCAACGGCCAUGGUGCAACGAUAGUAAGCGCGAGGGCAUGGAUUCCCCUUGGCCAUUUUUUGACCGUAUUUUCUCCAUUGACAUCCAUCGUUUACCUAUCAAAUAAUC
rnacentral:lncRNA from 1 species